rnacentral:rRNA from 1 species
GCCGCGGUAAUACGUAUGGGGCAAGCGUUGUCCGGAUUUACUGGGCGUAAAGGGCGCGUAGGCGGUUUGUUAAGUCGAAGGUGAAAUCCUCGGGCUCAACUCGAGAAUUGCCUUCGAUACUGGCAAACUAGAGUGGCGGAGAGGAAAGCGGAACUCUUGGUGUAACGGUGGAAUGUGUAGAUAUCAAGAGGAACACCGGUGGCGAAGGCGGCUUUCUGGACGCACACUGACGCUCAGGCGCGAAAGCGUGGGUAGCAAACAGGAUUAGAUACCCUGGUAGUCCACGCCAUAAACGAUGGGUACUAGGUGUCGGGGGUAUCGACCCCUCCGGUGCCGCAGUUAACGCACUAAGUACCCCGCCUGGGGAUUAUGGUCGCAAGGCUGAAACUCAAAGGAAUUGACGGGGCCCCGCACAAGCGGUGGAGCAUGUGGUUUAAUUCGACGCAACGCGAAGAACCUUACCUGGGCUUGACAUGCUUGGGACAGCGCUGGAAACAGCGUCUCUCCUUCGGGAGCCCUUGCACAGGUGCUGCAUGGCUGUCGUCAGCUCGUGUCGUGAGAUGUUGGGUUAAGUCCCGCAACGAGCGCAACCCUCGUUACUAGUUGCCAUCAGUUCGGCUGGGCACUCUAGUGAGACUGCCGGUGAUAAACCGGAGGAAGGUGAGGAUGAUGUCAAGUCAUCAUGGCCCUUACGCCCAGGGCUACACACGUGCUACAAUGGUCGGCACAAAGGGUCGCUAAGCCGCGAGGUGGAGCUAAUCCCAAAAAGCCGGCCUCAGUUCGGAUUGGAGUCUGCAACCCGACUCCAUGAAGGCGGAAUCGCUAGUAAUCGCGGAUCAGCAUGCCGCGGUGAAUAUGUUCCCGGGG